rnacentral:rRNA from 1 species
AAAUGCGAUCAUACCAGCACUAAAGCACCGGAUCCCAUUAGAACUCCGAAGUUAAGCGUGCUUGGGCAAGAGUAGUACUAGGAUGGGUGACCUCCUGGGAAGUCCUCGUGUUGCAUUCA